AGUAACGCGUGGGAACGUACCCUUUACUACGGAAUAACGCAGGGAAACUUGUGCUAAUACCGUAUGUGCCCUUUGGGGGAAAGAUUUAUCGGUAAAGGAUCGGCCCGCGUUGGAUUAGCUAGUUGGUGGGGUAAAGGCCUACCAAGGCAACGAUCCAUAGCUGGUCUGAGAGGAUGAUCAGCCACAUUGGGACUGAGACACGGCCCAAACUCCUACGGGAGGCAGCAGUGGGGAAUAUUGGACAAUGGGCGCAAGCCUGAUCCAGCCAUGCCGCGUGAGUGAUGAAGGCCCUAGGGUUGUAAAGCUCUUUCACCGGAAAAGAUAAUGACGGUAUCCGGAAAAAAAGCCCCGGGCUAACUUCGUGCCAGCACCCCCGGUAAUACGAAGGGGGCCUAGGGUUCUUCGAAAUUACGGGGGGUAAAGGGCACGUAGGCGGAUCGAUAAGUUCUGGGGCGAAAAUCCCCAGGGCUAAACCCCUGGGACCGCCCUUUGAU
rnacentral:rRNA from 1 species